rnacentral:rRNA from 1 species
UACGUAGGUGGCGAACGUUAUCCGGAAUUAUUGGGCGUAAAGGGUGCGUAGGCGGCCCUGUAAGUCAGUGCUGAAAUACCCCGGCUUAACCGGGGGGGUGGCAUUGAUACUGCAGGGCUUGAGUACAGAUGAGGUAGGCGGAAUUGACGGUGUAGCGGUGAAAUGCAUAGAUAUCGUCAAGAACACCUAUAGCGAAGGCAGCUUACUGGGCUGUAACUGACGCUGAGGCACGAAAGUGUGGGGAUCAAACAGG